rnacentral:lncRNA from 1 species
CAAAGGUCCCCACUGUGGCCAGAUCAACAUUGAAAUGGGUUGGCCCAACGCCAUCAUGGCGUGCUUGGCAUUUUAUUUGUUGUAGGUUACAUUGUUGUCGCAGUACUAGAGUUAGAAGCUUAGGCCUCACACAUGCUCUACCAAUGAGCUACACCCAGCCCUCUUUCUACUUUUCCUUUUGAUAAGUUGCCCAGGCUGGCCUUGAACUUGGGACCCUUCUGCUUCACCCUCCAGAGCAGCUGGGAUAGCUGUCAGGCCCAGCUGUGGCUUUAAGUGAAUUUAUUCCUAACAUGUAAAACAAUGAGACUUCACCACAGUUCUAAUUUCCAGUUCUUCUCUCAAACUUGGAGCCCUGAACUGGUGUGGUGAACGUGGCUACGGUGGUUUCUAAGGCAACGGGCAUUUCCAGCGUGGGAUGCAGGCCCUCUGCUGCCCCCAGACCCAGAGGAGGGAGGCGCCAGAAGCUACAUCUUAGCCAUCUUCAGGAGGGGGGGCUGGAGCUGGGCCCCCUCCCCCCAGCCUGCGGUCCGCAGCUGUGACUCAGUACAGCCCCACACAGGCCGCGAUGGUGGCAAGCCAGGAAGAUGCCACACAGCGGGCAGAUGAGGAAACCCGCCUCAGCUCACGAGUUCUCCCACAUAACUGGUGCUGCCCAGAGCCCCUGCCCCGUGUGUACCAGGACCUGAGUUGCAUUCCCAACCAAGAAAAAUAAGCAAAGAAGGCAACCACCAGGUCUCCUCUCUGGGGCCUUAGUUUCCCCGCUGUGCUUUGCAGUUUUCAAUCCCGUAUUUCCAACCGCAACAUAACCGGCCUCUGUGAAACUUGCCUGUGUGUAUACUGCCACCAUGUGACAGGUGCUGGAACUGCAGGAGUGACUUGUUCACGUUUGUGUGCAGUGGUUUGCUAUGGAGAGGCUGGCGCUGUGGGUGUGGGUAUCACACUCACAGGACAUGAGCGUGCCACUGAGAGAAGUAUAGAUGUCCAAGAGAUGGGCAAAAGGCUCCCAUCCUUCAUGUAGUUACUCAUCAAACUUUUUAAACUGUGGUUCAAAUCCUAG